ACUCCAUUGCUUUCUCCACCCGACGUUCCGGUCCUUGAUCGUGCAUCGUCUUCAAGUACAAGAUACUUCAGGGCAUUUUCCGAAUAAAUCAAUACAAAUCCCUCGAGGCAUUCCCCGACCGAAUGAAUACAUAAUUAGUGCGGAAAAAUCAAACUAUUCAACAAAAUUUCAAACAUUCACGGAAUUUUCAACAUUCAACCAAAGCCACAAAUUCUAAACUUUGCCUACCCAAUCUAUGUUUGUCUAAACCAAUCGACGUAUCAUGAUACUAUCAAGUUCAAUUAAUGUUCAUUUCAAGUCAAACAAUCAAUGAAUCAAACUAACCAAAGUUCACCAAUUAUGUUAAGUUUUCAAUUCUCACCCCCAAAUUAAUUUCAACCAACAAUUAACACAUGCUUCGAUUAUCAAAUCAAUUUUGCACUCGAAAUCCAAUAUCAACAACAUAGACAUAACGACAAUUAAAGCAUGCUAAUCAUAUGAAUUUCACAUUAAUGACAUCAAACAUCCACCAAAUCAUUCAAUCUCGAACAUAGCCAAUUCAACAAAUUACGAUAAAGAAGAGAGAAUGGGUUAAAGAAAUGAACCUUUCGAUAAUCAAUUUUGGUUGAUAAUACUAUUGAAGAAGCCCCAAAUUUAGAAUUCCUCAACAGAAAACCUCAACAGCAACACGGUACAACUUGGUAUCGCGGAACUAAGAUCCGAAAUUAACCAAAAUAAAUUGACCGAGUCCAAAAAGUAUCCAAACUUUGAACGAAGACGAAAACUGAUGGAUCAAAAUCGAAAUCGACAUCGAAAAAACCAAACCAGUACACGAUAUUAUUGCAAAAUUGAUUUGAAAUUGGAGCUAACCACCUGUACUGAUUCAAUCAACGAUGGGAAUAAAUUUGGGACUGAUUUUAAUCCAACUGACGACGGACGUUGAUUUCGAUGAGCUCCUAUCCAAAAAUCUCGGAGAAAAGAGAGUAUUUGUGGUAUUUUAGGGCUGAGUAGAUUGGGAUGAUGAACUUGAUGACGAUUCCGGCGAUAUUUCACUGGAAAAACUAAAGAAAAAAUGAUCGAAACCCUCAAAUCCUCUUCAUUUUUUGUUUUGAUUUUUUGCUCAGUGUGUGUGUGCGCGCGCGAGAUUUACUCUGCGUGUGUGCGCAUUGAUGGUGUCUUUUAUGUGAGAGAGUGUGCAAAAAUGGAAGAUGGUCCCUCCCCUCUCCUCUGUGUGAACUGUGCGUAUAUGUAUAUGGUAGUGUGGUGAGUGUGCUUUUCGUUAUUCUUUUCUUUUUAGGUGUUAAUGGAACAUCAAGCUACGUUGGAAUGUUCAUCCAUGGAGGAUUUUAUGUGUAAUUUGUGGGUUGAUGGUGAGAGCCAGAAAAAGAAAAAAAAUGGAGGUUUGUGUAUGGUCAUUUUCGUGAGUGCGAAUGUGAUGAUGAUGAUUUUUGCCAAUUUUCUGUGAGUGUUAUCGUGUUUUUGAAUUGUAUAUGGGUAUUGAUGGAUGGUCCCCUCGUAUUGUUA
rnacentral:lncRNA from 1 species